GGAAGUAAAAGUCGUAACAAGGUUUCCGUAGGUGAACCUGCGGAAGGAUCAUUACCACACCAAAUAAAUGUCCACGUGAAUUGUAUUUUGUUCCAACAGCACAUUUUGUGUGUUGUUAGGAGAGUAAUCUCCUGUUUUUAUUAAACCCUUUUUUUUAAUUUUACUAAAUCUAGAUAAAUAAUCUAAUGAAAGAACAACUUUCAGCAGUGGAUGUCUAGGCUCGCACAUCGAUGAAGAACGCUGCGAACUGCGAUACGUAAUGCGAAUUGCACAAUUCAGUGAGUCAUCGAAAUUUUGAACGCAUAUUGCACUUUCGGGUAUUCCUGGAAGUAUGCUUGUAUCAGUGUCUGUACAAUUUGUCACUAUUAUUUUAAGUGGAUGUUGAUAGUCUAUUUUGUAUUGAAAUAGUCUAUUGAAAUGUACAUGAAUAGAUUGUAAAUGUAUUCAACCCCAUCGUGGUAGAUAUUGUAAUGAUAUAUGUUACUUUGGUAUGAGUAUAUAGUAUAAUCUAAUAAAUGGGAAAUUUAAUUUCUUUAUUGGACCUGAUAUCAAGUAAGAUUACCCGCUGAAUUUAAGCAUAUCAAUAAGCGGAGGA
rnacentral:rRNA from 1 species